AGCAUCAGAAUGUCCCGAGCCUCUCCCCAGCUGCAGCCGGGGUGGGCACCGAGGCCUGGCCCGAGCUCUCUGCAGGAAGCGGCCUCAGCGCCAGGCUGGCCAGGGCCUCAGC